rnacentral:lncRNA from 1 species
AGAACAGAUGGGUUUGAGGCCUAAAAAUGAAGGGAGCUUCCUGGGUAUAAAGCUAACCCCACUGGGUUAGCCUGAGAAGCUCUGGCGGAGACUAUAGGCAGGCCUGUAUUAACAGUGUCCUUAGGUGUGUAUGGCCUUUUCAUAGCUCAAGUGUAUGUGCUCGUCUCCAUUAUCUUAUCUGUGCCCUGUGAUGUAGGAAAGUCAUGUCUGGUGAUAAAGCUGGAUGAUAUGAGCCUGGGUGCCACCAACAGUCAGAUUCCUGGUGACUUGGAGAAGACCAAGAAGAAGACUGAGAAGAGUUCAAGAUAGAAUACUAGUUUGAUUUUUAUCAGGUCAUAAUUUCUGUAAUUCAGUUAUAUAAUUUAAAAAAUUCCAUUUGUUGUUUGCAAUCAAAAGAAUUCUAACAAAUUCUGAUGUGGUAUAAAAGCAAUAAAGUUCCUGAAAAUAAGC